rnacentral:rRNA from 1 species
AGUGAACGCUGGCGGUAGGCCUAACACAUGCAAGUCGAACGGCAGCACAGUAAGAGCUUGCUCUUACGGGUGGCGAGUGGCGGACGGGUGAGGAAUACAUCGGAAUCUACUUUUUCGUGGGGGAUAACGUAGGGAAACUUACGCUAAUACCGCAUACGACCUACGGGUGAAAGCAGGGGAUCUUCGGACCUUGCGCGAUUGAAUGAGCCGAUGUCGGAUUAGCUAGUUGGCGGGGUAAAGGCCCACCAAGGCGACGAUCCGUAGCUGGUCUGAGAGGAUGGUCAGCCACACUGGAACUGAGACACGGUCAAGACUCCUACGGGAGGCAGCAGUGUGGAAUAUUGGACAAUGGGCGCAAGCCUGAUCCAGCCAUACCGCGUGGGUGAAGAAGGCCUUCGGGUUGUAAAGCCCUUUUGUUGGGAAAGAAAAGCAGCAGGUUAAUACCCAGCUGUUCUGACGGUACCCAAAGAAUAAGCACCGGCUAACUUCGUG